AAAAAUAUAGUUACAGAAGGUGCCUGUAUUCUCCACAGGAUAAUAGGGAAAUGGGUGAGAAUCCCAUACGGUCCCGCCGCUGUAUGAGUGGAGCCUUAUCUUGAAUAUGUAAGUAAAACCACUGGGAAACCGGGAAGGUGAGAUAAGGUGAAGAAACUUGAGUCAGAAGACCUGCCUUUUGUGAAGGAAUGCA
rnacentral:ncRNA from 2 species